ACUGUUUAUAGCCAAAAAACUUUCCAUUUCUGUAUAUUUAAUCCUUUGACACAUUUCUAUUUCUAGGAAUCCUCUCUCAUUAGCAUGCAAAACUUCCAUUAGGACCAGAAUAAAAAGAUUUUUAUCCUGCCUCUUCCACCCUCCCAUGGGAGUACCUGGUAGGGUAUUUGCUUGCAAGAAUUCUUGUCCAGGGAAGUUGAUUCUGGUCCCUACUACAGUAUCUUUGACAUUUCUGCUGUGUAAAGGGGUCACAGCGGUUCCCUGGGGCACAACCCCAGCCCUAGGGCAACAUAGGGGCAAACUAGGCAGCUUAGCACCAUCCUGUGCAGCCCCAAGUUUGGGACUGGGAGUGCAUUGGUGUUAGCAGGAGGACUGGCCAGAGAGCACUGUGUGCUCUGGUUUUUCUCUGCGGCAGAGUCAGACCACCUCCAACCAUUCUGGGAUGCACUGGCCCCUGGAACAACCGAGAGAGUAUCCCAUUUGCCCACGCUCCUCUAACCCUCUUGGCCUUCUCUUUCUGGGCCAUUGCUCCUGAGACACACAUUACAGAGUCUCUCCGAGGACUUUAAGAACGGUCAGAAAAUGACUGUGAUUAACAGAGCAAUAGGCUGUGAGGCACUGCUCCAAGGAAACAGCCUUGGAGCGAUGGCUGGUGCAAGAGUACAGUGACCCUUAGCAACAGUAAAUCCAACAUGCUGCACAGCUUAGUAAUUCUCAUGUUCUAGCGAGACCGACCUAGUAGGACAUUCUUUCUACAUCUGUCUUCAAAUCACAUUGAGCAGAGCACAGAAGGGAAAGGUGAGAUGAAUCAACUUUCUUACCAGGAAAAUGCUACUUUAAAAAAAAAUUAAUUAGAAAGGUGGGGUCUUUUUCCCACAAGAACUAAGAAAAAGCCUUAGCUACCACCCAUCUGGUGUUCUGUACUUGGUAACAGAGCAUUCAGGUGAAGGUUGAUAUAACACUAAAGCCAUAAAACAAAGCACCAGAACUGAAGGUUACUCUGUCCCCUGCUUAUUGACAUCAAAACAAGGUCUGAAAAAGGUAGGAAAGAUCAGACUCUUGUUUCUAAGAGAAGUGUUGGUGAAUCUGAGCAAGAUUACCACUGUUAUCCCUACCCAGCCUAUUCAUUCCUGCUACUGCAGUGAUUUCAAAUGCAUCAAAAAAUCCUGUUUGACCCACAGAACCUGUUUUAGCUGCUCAGUUUAAAACUGGCACUCUUGUUCCACCCAGCAAAGUCCCAGCCAUUAUGUAAGAGCAGUUUUUUUACCAUAAAUAAACUCAAGAAUUUAAUCUAUUUCUUCAUUCCAACGGGUAUUUGAGACAAAUAUCAGAGGUAGGCAUCAUGCUUAGAAAAAAUAAUGUAGCAAUAAUGGUUGGAGCCAUGUGUUGCAGAAAUCUAUUUUUAACCUGCUUUAAUCUGAUACAGAGCCUGAGACAACAGGAUCUCUUGGGUCAUUCAGUCCAUUCCUCCUGCAACAAUGCAAAAUCAUCUGCACUAUUUUGUUUUCAUGUAGUCUAUGAACACCAUUGAGGGUGUCUGUUCUGUUGGCAGAUUAUUCUAUUCAAGUGACCUCUUAGAAACUAUCUAAAGUUCUUCUGUGUAUUUUCCCAAGUAUAUUAAAUAUCAGUCCAGAGAUGUAUAUAUUUUGCACAGAGACCCCAUAUAGUCAGGUACAGCUGUCUCCCCUUUUUUUUUUUUUUUUUUAAGGUAGAUGGGUUUCACCAACUGGAAAUGGUAAUGCUAAUGCUAUUUAAAAUAAGCAAAACAUCUAGUUUUCAUUUAAGAUAAAGGGUUAACAUUAAUUUCUACAGAUGACUUUAAAACUUUUAAAUCAAGUUGAAAUGCUGAAGAUAUUGCUGGGCUCUGUGCAUUAAUUUUAGCAAUUAAAACCCGUGAUGUUAAGGGUUUAAACUGAUCCACAAUAUAUACUCUUGCAAUUUCUCUGAACACAAAAUUCACCCAUGGAGACUAAUUAUUAAAAUUUACCAUUGCUACUCAA